UACGUAGGGUGCAAGCGUUGUCCGGAAUUAUUGGGCGUAAAGAGCUUGUAGGCGGUUUGUCGCGUCUGACCUGUGGAAAUUUCGGGGCGCACCCCGAACUUGCAGUGGGUACGGGCAGACUAGAGUGUGGUAGGGGAGACUGGAAUUCCUGGUGUAGCGGUGAAAUGCGCAGAUAUCAGGAGGAACACCGAUGGCGAAGGCAGG
rnacentral:rRNA from 1 species